CCUCUCCUCUCCCCAAUCGGCUUCCUCUCCUCCCUGCCGCCUCCACCCAAACCCUAACCCUAGCUGCUCCACGCCGCCGCCAUCUCCGUCGCCCAGCCUGCCGGAUCCUCGCCGUCUCUCGUCCUCUCCCGUCGCUGCUGCUACCCCUUGCGCCGCCCCCAGCCUCCUCACCCGGACACGGCGACCAUGAGCGCCAGCGAGAGCAGGAAGGCUGGCGACUGGGCGCUGCCGUACAAGGGCCUGGCGGCCACCUCUGCGAGUGGGACGACUUGUGCGCGUGCCAUCGCCGGGAGGAGCGUCGGCUGCCGAGAACACGGCGGCAAUAGGAGGCGACAUGAAGAUGGCAUGUGGAGGAUGGCUCUCCGAGAUGGCUGCUGCGGCACCGUCGCCGUCGUUCUUUCCAUGGACAACCAGAUACUCAGGAGUGGCCCGUGCAAACAAUGUACAGGAAGCAAGCCAAGCAGGAAAAUGCAUUGUAUGAUAUAUAUUGGAGAAAAAAAGGCAUAAAAGCAGCACUACGGGUUCACCUAAUAGUACAAGGUUAGAUUUCCUAUGAAGUUGUUGAUUAAUGGUAGUUUGAGAACGCUUAAGUACCAAUGGUAACUAAUUUGCAGUUGCAUACAUGAAGGUUGGUACAUGAGUUUUCGCAUCAUGUUACUUUUGGUGAAAUAUCACAACAGCUCAAGAUAAUUUUGAAUUGGAUGUGUCCCUUUUAUCUAUGGUUGCCCAUUAUAGAAACUGAAUUUCAGGUAGUGCUCUGAUGAAGCCCCACGAAUGCUUAUCAACAGAAGGUCCAGAGCAUUUUCCACAUUUCAUGAUUGUAUUUGAAAUAUUUCCAUGAUGCCCCUCUAUCGAAUAGGCCCUUUCAGUUCUUAAAAGGGUUGCUUUUCAAUUGAAAACUAGUGCGGCAGAUUUUGUUCAUGUCGACAUGGUGGCGUUGUAGAUGGGGCUACAUGCACAACUCCAGUUCCAACAUACCUUGCUAGCUAGGACCUUGACGAGGAUUAGAUGGGCUCUCGGUUGUUGUGUGUUCUAUUUCUCAUGGGGCAGCAAAGAUAAGCCCUGCUGUAUAAAAUGCCAAAAAAAGUUAUACAAGACCUGCUAUAUAAAAUGCCAAAACAGAUUCGAUUAUCCCCUUAUAAUUGUUGUACACUAAUCCUACAGCACAAGCCAUCAGAUUUUUCUUGCAUAGUAGCUUCAAGCUGGCUAACAAACUCAGUAUUAAAGGUUAGGUUUUCUCUUUCUUAUUCUUUUAAUUAUAACAAGAGUCCUUAGUUUGUUUAUCUGCCAUGUCGGUAGUUUGUUUCCAAAAACAUGACUGAGAUAUGAGUCAGAUCGUGUCUUCACAAGAUGACCAGUGCCUUCAAACUUAUAUUAUGUCCAGUGUAUAGUCAAAAUCUUCUCUCUUUUUGUCAAAGAAAGCUUCAUAGAAAGCUCCAUCUACUAUUUGUUGCGUAUUUGUCGGUGAGAAGAGCAAAGCAUAUAUGUUGCAUCUAUAGUUUAUUUGAUGUAAAUUGCAGUACAUGUCACUCAUUUAGUUUCGUUUAAUUAGACUGAACUAUAAUUAACAUAUCCCCUCUUUAUAUUGUUCUGUCUCACUAAAUGCAAUGAACUCUGAUGUUUAACUUCUAAUGCCAAGACGGAUGAUAAACAACUAAUGCCAAUUUUAGCUUUAAUGUACCUUUGUUGCGUUGAGGUCUGAUGCACUUUCCUACUUAGAUAUCUGCAAGUGGUUGAUUCAACUGCCAUGACCUUACCAAAACAGGAUAGUGAAUCAUUUCCUUUGCUGUCAACCCAAUUAGCCGACUCAUGUGUAUAUGAUCCCAAGUGGAGUCAACGUGGAACUUAGAUGGUUCAAUUUUAUUUGUCUUGUGGUAACGCAUACCCUGACGGUGACUGUAAUGCUAUAGCUGCUUUUAUAAGUGUAUAAACUGGCAUGACAUGUACGCAAUCAGAGGAUUGAUUUAGGUUUAAUGCUACAUUUCUAUUCGUAAUCAGUGGACAGGAAAACAUGUAGAACUCAUCUUCCAUACCAUUUUGCUGUACAUAAUGACUGAAUAUAGAUGUGUCAUGGAUGAAGCACAUCUUUAAAUCAAGCUCGACGCUGUUUUUGACUACCUUGCAGAUUUACAACUUUCCUUCACUCGUGGUUAGGCUAGAUAAAUGCUCUUCUAUACUUCUCUUUCCAACUAAUGCUACACAACAAAAUUAAAAUUAUGACUUAAGAUUGCUCUGUUCACCCAUGUUUCUCCAUGUUUAUGAAGAAAAGAUUUGGGUUCAGAGCACCUUUCUGUGUUAUUUAUUUGAUAUUUGUGAUUUCUGAUGUCCACCUUUUGUAUGGCCAAUCGUUUUGUAGACUUUCAGUAUCCGUCAUCCGCUGUUGGGUUCAUCGAGAGAAUACCGAAAGCGCUACGGCUAUGAAGAUGACAUGUUGAAGAAGCACCAUCGGCGUCAGCUUCACCCUUCUCCUCGGCAUGGAGAAGAUGUCACUCCCAAGUCGUGUGGAGAGCGGGCUGUCACGCAGCUGCAGCCUCCUCUCGCGCUGCUCCCAGGAUGAGGCUGCCGCCUCAAUACCCUGCCUAGCCCCCGCUUCGUUACGAGCAGCGAGCCCGGCUUUGACAUAGGGUUUGGCGAGCGAGCUCACUGCCAACCCCCUCAGAUCUGGUCGACUCGUCGCUGCCCGCCGUCAGAUCCGUGGUGCGUGGCAUGUUGAUGCUAGAAAAUGAUGUGGGUACAAGAAAAUGAUGUGAGAUAUGCCAGGAUUAGGCGGAGAUGAUGAAAGACUUUGUAAAAAAGUCAGAUAUGUUUUGAGGUUUCCAUAGAGCCGGCCAAUGAAACAACGCUGGUUUAUAGAACACAUCGUUUCUUCACAAUUUGACUACUAUGGUCACCGAAUCCUUGGAACAGGUUUCAGCUAAGGGUUGCAGAUGUUUUGUUUGGCUUGCAUGAAUUAAACCAUGCUUCCAGUUUUAAAGUACACUUGAGCCACAGUUGCUAAUAGUUCCAAGCUGAUGUUUGAUCCCCUUGCAUGAAUUGAACAUGCUACUCUGAAAUCAGAGAGCAGACAACUGUAGGUUUAUUUUUUGUUAAAGUAUAGUAGCUACUAGCUACUCUAUAUGCAAUGCGAGCAGAUUGUAAAAUAUGCAAACCCCUGAUGUAUACUAGGAAGUGUUAGUGUCUAGGACCCGCCGGUGAGCUGAUCCACCCUUUAGUUUUCCACCUUUUACUUUUAGCGUUUACUUUUCUUGUCCUUUCCUAUGGAUUUUCAUUAUUUCUCUUCUUUAUAUGUUCAAAUUGUAAAGGAGGGAAAAUGCACAUGUAUGUCCUUGAUGUAGAUCUCUGUGAUUUAUAUAUGUGCUCACGAGGACAUUCCCAUUGCAUCUGAAUUGACAAGUUGAAGAAUCUGGUCAUUUUGUGCUUGCCUACAGAACUGAUAUUUGUUAGCCAAACAAAAACGACUGAUGGUUGAUUAUCUCAACCACGAACGAGCAUUUCUGGAUUGUAGAACAAAGAGUGUCCCGGGCAAAAGGAUCAAGUUCUGGCGGGUGGGCAUCGGGAGUCCAGCUGGUUGGCUUCAGUCUUUGGGGUGCUGCCGGCUAGCGGCGCUGCUUCUGAGUGUCUCCUCAUCUCACUCCCGUGGCACCUUCGACCGGGAAAGGCUGCGUACAAUAGACCCAAAGUGGUCGGACCCUUCCCUGGACCCUGCGCAAGCGGGAGCUACAUGCACCGGGUUGCCCUUUUUUUGAAUACCUCUCAUGUCUAUCUUAUUCCAUAAAAGAAGGAAGAUAGAAAAUUUAAUUUAGAGGUCAAUAGCUUCUCAUGAUGGAGCACAAGGCCCUGUUGCAGUUAGCCCUGGAAAUGUUAGCUCUGCUAGGAGCCAACAUAACAGAAGCAUAGAAGAUGAUGCCUAGAACAUUGAGGUGAAGAAUGGAAGAUGAUGCACAGUCGUACAUGUGCUUACUUGAUGUUGUGCUAAGCCAUUUUGUGAGAAAUUGAGAUUGAGAAAUGAUGUUAUGUUAUCGCUAUGUCAUUCUAUGAGGACAGAGAAUUGUGUACUUAUUUUUAUUUGAUGUUAUGUCAUUUUAUGGGAAUCUGAGAGCUUAUUUGGUGA